rnacentral:rRNA from 1 species
GACGAACGCUGGCGGCGUGCUUAACACAUGCAAGUCGAACGGUAAGGCCCUUCGGGGUACACGAGUGGCGAACGGGUGAGUAACACGUGGGUGAUCUGCCCUGCACUUCGGGGUAAGCCUGGGCAACUGGGUCUAAUACCGGAUAGGACCCUGGGAUGCAUGUCCUGGGGUGGAAAGCUUUUGCGGUGUGGGAUGGGCCCGCGGCCUAUCAGCUUGUUGGUGGGGUGAUGGCCUACCAAGGGGACGACGGGUAGCCGGCCUGAGAGGGUGACCGGCCACACUGGGACUGAGAUACGGCCCAGACUCCUACGGGAGGCAGCAGUGGGGAAUAUUGCACAAUGGGCGCAAGCCUGAUGCAGCGACGCCGCGUGAGGGAUGACGGCCUUCGGGUUGUAAACCUCUUUCAGCACCGACGAAGCGCAAGUGACGGUAGGUGCAGAAGAAGGACCGGCCAACUACGUGCCAGCAGCCGCAGUAA